rnacentral:rRNA from 1 species
CUACGGGACGCACCAGUGAGGAAUUUUGCGCAAUGGGGGCAACCCUGACGCAGCAACGCCGCGUGAGUGAAGAGGGCCUUUGGGUCGUAAAGCUCUGUCAACUGGGAAGAAAUUAGCAUCAAUUAAUAGUUGUUGUUAUUGACGGUACCAGUGGAGGAAGCGCCGGCUAACUCCGUGCCAGCAGCCGCGGUAACACGGGGGGCGCAAGCGUUAUUCGGAAUUAUUGGGCGUAAAGGGCGCGCAGGCGGUCUUGUCAGUCAGGUGUGAAAGCCCGGGGCUCAACCCUGGAAGUGCACUUGAAACAGCAAGACUUGAGUACGGGAGAGGAAAGCGGAAUUCCUGGUGUAGAGGUGAAAUUCGUAGAUAUCAGGAGGAACACCGAUGGCGAAGGCAGCUUUCUGGACCGAUACUGACGCUGAGGCGCGAAGGCGUGGGUAGCGAACGGGAUUAGAUACCCCUGUAGUC